rnacentral:rRNA from 1 species
UACGGAGGGGGCUAGCGUUGUUCGGAAUUACUGGGCGUAAAGCGCACGUAGGCGGCUUUGUAAGUUAGAGGUGAAAGCCCGGGGCUCAACUCCGGAACUUGCCUUUAAGACUGCAUCGCUUGAAUCCAGGAGAGGUGAGUGGAAUUCCGAGUGUAGAGGUGAAAUUCGUAGAUAUUCGGAAGAACACCAGUGGCGAAGGCGGCUCACUGGACUGGUAUUGACGCUGAGGUGGCGAAAGCGUGGGGAGCAAACAGG